GCGGGCGUUCUUUUUUUUUUUUUUUUAAGAUAGCUACGGUAAUACUAUAGCGAGAACGCCAAGGAUUGCGACUCUGAUACCAAUUGAUAAGACCCUAAAGUCUUAUCGUCACUCUGGUACCAAUUGAUAAGACCCUAAAGUCUUAUCAUCGCUCUGAUACCAAAUGAUAAGACACUAAAGUCUUAUCGUGGAAGAAAGGGGAGAAAAGGGAAUGAUAAUGAUCACUUCGAGG
rnacentral:lncRNA from 1 species